UAGGGAAUCUUCGGCAAUGGACGGAAGUCUGACCGAGCAACGCCGCGUGAGUGAAGAAGGUUUUCGGAUCGUAAAGCUCUGUUGUAAGAGAAGAACGAGUGUGAGAGUGGAAAGUUCACACUGUGACGGUAUCUUACCAGAAAGGGACGGCUAACUACGUGCCAGCAGCCGCGGUAAUACGUAGGUCCCGAGCGUUGUCCGGAUUUAUUGGGCGUAAAGCGAGCGCAGGCGGUUAGAUAAGUCUGAAGUUAAAGGCUGUGGCUUAACCAUAGUACGCUUUGGAAACUGUUUAACUUGAGUGCAAGAGGGGAGAGUGGAAUUCCAUGUGUAGCGGUGAAAUGCGUAGAUAUAUGGAGGAACACCGGUGGCGAAAGCGGCUCUCUGGCUUGUAACUGACGCUGAGGCUCGAAAGCGUGGGGAGCAAACAGGAUUAGAUUCCCUGGUAGUCCACGCCGUAAACGAUGAGUGCUAGGUGUUAGACCCUUUCCGGGGUUUAGUGCCGUAGCUAACGCAUUAAGCACUCCGCCUGGGGAGUACGGNCGCAAGGUUG
rnacentral:rRNA from 1 species